UACGAAGGGGGCUAGCGUUGCUCGGAAUCACUGGGCGUAAAGGGCGCGUAGGCGGCCAUUCAAGUCGGGGGUGAAAGCCUGUGGCUCAACCACAGAAUUGCCUUCGAUACUGUUUGGCUUGAGUAUGGUAGAGGUCAGUGGAACUGCGAGUGUAGAGGUGAAAUUCGUAGAUAUUCGCAAGAACACCAGUGGCGAAGGCGGCUGACUGGACCAUUACUGACGCUGAGGCGCGAAAGCGUGGGGAGCGAACAGG
rnacentral:rRNA from 1 species